GCCGCCGUAGCUCAGUAGGUAGGAGCGCUCGGCUGUUAACCGAGUGGUCGCAGGUUCGAGUCCUGCCGGCGGCG
rnacentral:ncRNA from 16 species